GAUGAACGCUGGCGGCGUGCCUAAUACAUGCAAGUCGAGCGAACAGACGAGGAGCUUGCUCCUUCGACGUUAGCGGCGGACGGGUGAGUAACACGUAGGUAACCUACCUAUAAGACUGGGAUAACUUCGGGAAACCGGAGCUAAUACCGGAUAAUAUUUCGAACCGCAUGGUUCGAUAGUGAAAGAUGGCUUUGCUAUCACUUAUAGAUGGACCUGCGCCGUAUUAGCUAGUUGGUAAGGUAACGGCUUACCAAGGCAACGAUACGUAGCCGACCUGAGAGGGUGAUCGGCCACACUGGAACUGAGACACGGUCCAGACUCCUACGGAAGGCAGAAGUAGGGAAUCUUCCGCAAUGGGCGAAAGCCUGACGGGGCAACGCGGCGUGAGUGAUGAAGGUCUUCGGAUCGUAAACCUCUGUUAUUAGGAAGAACAAACGUGUAAGUAACUGUGCACGUCUUGACGGUACCUAAUCAGAAAGCCACGGCUAACUACGUG
rnacentral:rRNA from 1 species